rnacentral:rRNA from 1 species
AUUGAACGCUGGCGGCAGGCUUAACACAUGCAAGUCGAGCGGGGAAAAGUAGCUUGCUACUUUACCUAGCGGCGGACGGGUGAGUAAUGCGUAGGAAUCUGCCUAUCAGUGGGGUACAACAUCUCGAAAGGGAUGCUAAUACCGCAUAAGCCCUACGGGAGAAAGCAGGGGACCUGCGGGCCUUGCGCUCAUAGAUGAGCCUAAGACGGAUUGGCGAGUUGGUGGGGUAAAGGCCUACCAAGGCGACGAUCUGUAGCGGGGCUGGGAGGAUGAUCCGCCACACUGGGACUGGGACCCGGCCCAGACUCCUACGGGGGGCAGCAGUGGGGGAUAUUGGGCAAUGGGGGGAACCCUGAUCCCGCCAUGCCGCGUGUGUGGAGGAGGCCUUUUGGUUGUAAAGCACUUUAAGCGAGGAGGAGGCUACCGAGAUUAAUACUCUUGGAUAGUGGACGUUACUCGCAGAAUAAGCACCGGCUAACUCUGUG